rnacentral:rRNA from 1 species
GGGGGAUAUUGCACAAUGGGGGAAACCCUGAUGCAGCGACGCCGCGUGGAGGAAGAAGGUUUUCGGAUUGUAAACUCCUAUCGUUAGGGACGAUAAUGACGGUACCUAACAAGAAAGCACCGGCUAACUACGUGCCAGCAGCCGCGGUAAAACGUAGGGUGCAAGCGUUGUCCGGAAUUACUGGGUGUAAAGGGAGCGCAGGCGGACCGGCAAGUUGGAAGUGAAAACUAUGGGCUCAACCCAUAAAUUGCUUUCAAAACUGCUGGCCUUGAGUAGUGCAGAGGUAGGUGGAAUUCCCGGUGUAGCGGUGGAAUGCGUAGAUAUCGGGAGGAACACCAGUGGCGAAGGCGACCUACUGGGCACCAACUGACGCUGAGGCUCGAAAGCAUGGGUAGCAAACAGGAUUAGAUACCCUGGUAGUCCAUGCCGUAAACGAUGAUUACUAGGUGUUGGAGGAUUGACCCCUUCAGUGCCGCAGUUAACACAAUAAGUAAUCCACCUGGGGAGUACGACCGCAAGGUUGAAACUCAAAGGAAUUGACGGGGGCCCGCACAAGCAGUGGAGUAUGUGGUUUAAUUCGAAGCAACGCGAAGAACCUUACCAGGUCUUGACAUCCGAUGAAUAGCUUAGAGAUAAGUGAAGUCCUUCGGGACAUCGAGACAGGUGGUGCAUGGUUGUCGUCAGCUCGUGUCGUGAGAUGUUGGGUUAAGUCCCGCAACGAGCGCAACCCUUAUUGCCAGUUACUACGCAAGAGGACUCUGGCGAGACUGCCGUUGACAAAACGGAGGAAGGUGGGGACGACGUCAAAUCAUCAUGCCCCUUAUGUCCUGGGCUACACACGUAAUACAAUGGCGGUCAACAGAGGGAAGCGGAGCCGUGAGGCCGAGCAAAUCUCAAAAAUAACGUCUCAGUUCGGACUGUAGUCUGCAACCCGACUACACGAAGCUGGAAUCGCUAGUAAUCGCAGAUCAGAAUGCUGCGGUGAAUACGUUCCCG